rnacentral:rRNA from 1 species
GAAUGCUGACAUAAGUAACGAUAAAGCGGGUGAAAAGCCCGCUCGCCGGAAGACCAAGGGUUCCUGUCCAACGUUAAUCGGGGCAGGGUGAGUCGACCCCUAAGGCGAGGCCGAAAGGCGUAGUCGAUGGGAAACGGGUUAAUAUUCCCGUACUUGGUGUUACUGCGAAGGGGGGACGGAGAAGGCUAUGUUGGCCGGGCGACGGUUGUCCCGGUUUAAGCGUGUAGGUGUGUGUUCCAGGUAAAUCCGGUUCACUUUAACACUGAGGCGUGACGACGAGGCACUACGGUGCUGAAGCAACAAAUGCCCUGCUUCCAGGAAAAGCCUCUAAGCAUCAGGUAACAUCAAAUCGUACCCCAAACCGACACAGGUGGUCAGGUAGAGAAUACCAAGGCGCUUGAGAGAACUCGGGUGAAGGAACUAGGCAAAAUGGUGCCGUAACUUCGGGAGAAGGCACGCUGACACGUAGGUGAAGUGAUUUACUCAUGGAGCUGAAGUCAGUCGAAGAUACCAGCUGGCUGCAACUGUUUAUUAAAAACACAGCACUGUGCAAACACGAAAGUGGACGUAUACGGUGUGACGCCUGCCCGGUGCCGGAAGGUUAAUUGAUGGGGUCAGCGCAAGCGAAGCUCCUGAUCGAAGCCCCGGUAAACGGCGGCCGUAACUAUAACGGUCCUAAGGUAGCGAAAUUCCUUGUCGGGUAAGUUCCGACCUGCACGAAUGGCGUAAUGAUGGCCAGGCUGUCUCCACCCGAGACUCAGUGAAAUUGAACUCGCUGUGAAGAUGCAGUGUACCCGCGGCAAGACGGAAAGACCCCGUGAACCUUUACUAUAGCUUGACACUGAACAUUGAGCCUUGAUGUGUAGGAUAGGUGGGAGGCUUUGAAGUGUGGACGCCAGUCUGCAUGGAGCCGACCUUGAAAUACCACCCUUUAAUGUUUGAUGUUCUAACGUGGACCCGUUACCCGGGUUGCGGACAGUGUCUGGUGGGUAGUUUGACUGGGGCGGUCUCCUCCUAAAGAGUAACGGAGGAGCACGAAGGUUGGCUAAUCCUGGUCGGACAUCAGGAGGUUAGUGCAAUGGCAUAAGCCAGCUUGACUGCGAGCGUGACGGCGCGAGCAGGUGCGAAAGCAGGUCAUAGUGAUCCGGUGGUUCUGAAUGGAAGGGCCAUCGCUCAACGGAUAAAAGGUACUCCGGGGAUAACAGGCUGAUACCGCCCAAGAGUUCAUAUCGACGGCGGUGUUUGGCACCUCGAUGUCGGCUCAUCACAUCCUGGGGCUGAAGUAGGUCCCAAGGGUAUGGCUGUUCGCCAUUUAAAGUGGUACGCGAGCUGGGUUUAGAACGUCGUGAGACAGUUCGGUCCCUAUCUGCCGUGGGCGCUGGAGAACUGAGGGGGGCUGCUCCUAGUACGAGAGGACCGGAGUGGACGCAUCACUGGUGUUCGGGUUGUCAUGCCAAUGGCACUGCCCGGUAGCUAAAUGCGGAAGAGAUAAGUGCUGAAAGCAUCUAAGCACGAAACUUGCCCCGAGAUGAGUUCUCCCUGAGACUUAA